rnacentral:tRNA from 1 species
GCCCGGAUGGUCUAGUGGUAUGAUUCUCGCUUUGGGUAUUCCAGCUUAAAUGCGAGAGGCCCCGCGUUCGAAUCGCGGUUCGGGCC